AUGGCGGUGGUCCGGCUGGAGGCUUCCGGUAGGAACGCCCGGUGGCGACCCGAUCCAAGCGGCGGGGCUGUUGGAGCCGUGGAGGAUAAGGUUGGGACGUGGGGUGGGUGUAUGCUAAAAAGUGCAGUUGCACUUUUUAGACGUUUUGGGCACACACCUUCGCUGGCCGUCGCAUCUCCUCGUGCGCGAGAUCACGACACACAGGUGAAUUCCUGUCGGAACCCACGACUCGAACACUCCGCACCCCUGUACUGCCCGCCGGGCCCACUAUCUCCCAUCCCUUUCCUUUUCUCCGUCAUGGCCCCGCUCCCCGCCGCCGCCUCGGCCCGCUCCCAUCGCCACCACCUCCACAUGCGCACCUUCGCGGCCAAUACCUCUUCUCGCUGUCGCGACCAGACGCCACCACCACCUCCCACUGCCGCGGCCGCACGCCACCACUACCGGAUGGGUCAACGCCUCCAUUAG
rnacentral:rRNA from 1 species